rnacentral:piRNA from 1 species
AUGGAAAAACUGGAAAUCUUGGAAAUGUU